GCCAAAUAGCUAGCCUGAACACAACCAUAAAUUUAAGAUAUACAUAAAAAGAUUAUACUAGCAUAUUAAAACAUUUUACCCCCUUAGUAUAGGUGAUAGAAAAGGCAAUCAGAGCAAUAGAAAAAGUACCGCAAGGGAAAGCUGAAAAAGAAAUGAAAUAACCCAACAAAGCAAUGAAAAGCAGAGACUAACCCUCGUACCUUUUGCAUCAUGAUUUAGCAAGAAAACCCAAGCAAAGAGAACUUAAGUUUGGCCUCCCGAAACCAGGAGAGCUACUCCGAGGCAGCCCAAAGGGGCAAAUCCGUCUCUGUAGCAAAAGAGUGGAGAGACCUCCGAGUAGAAGUGAUAAGCCUACCGAACCUGGUGAUAGCUGGUUGCUCAAAAAAUGAAUAUAAGUUCAGCGCUAUGAACUUCUAACUUUAUAUAAAAAAAGAUAAGCAAAGCAUAGCAGUUAGUCAAAAGAGGUACAGCUCUUUUGAAAAAGGACACAACCUUAUCAGGGUGGAAAAGGAUAAAAAACCAAGGCACCUCCCCCAGUGGGCCUAAAAGCAGCCACCUGUAAAGACAGCGUUAAAGCUCAAGCAAGACUUGACCAAGAAUUCAAAAUAACUAAACCCUACCCCCCAGAAAACAUUGAGCCCCCCUAUAAACAUAUAGAGAAGAUAAUGCUAAAAUUAGUAAUAAGAGGAAUAUGAUCCUCUCCCCGCAUAAUCGUGAAUCAGACAGGACCUACCACUGAUAGCUAACGGACCCAAAAGAGGGUAUGGCAAAGAGAUUAAAAAACAAGAAAACUAUGCCAAAAAUACCGUCAUCCCGACACAGGAAUGCGCCUGGGAAAGACUAAAAGGAGAAGAAGGAACUCGGCAAAUUAGAGUCCCGCCUGUUUACCAAAAACAUCGCCUCUUGCUAAUAAUGAAGUAUUAGAGGUCCCGCCUGCCCUGUGACAGCAAUGUUUAACGGCCGCGGUAUCCUAACCGCGCGAAGGUAGCGUAAUCACUUGUCUUUUAAAUGGAGACCUGUAUGAAUGGCAUAACGAGGACUUAACUGUCUCCUUCCCCUAGUCAAUGAAAUUGAUCUGCCCGUGCAGAAGCGGGCAUAAUAACAUAAGACGAGAAGACCCUAUGGAGCUUUAGGCAAAUGAUCAAGUACACCAAGCCUUACUUAUACAAAUAUUAGGAAAACAAAAACCAAUGAUCAACCUGCCUUCGGUUGGGGCGACCGUGGAGGAGAAAAAAGCCUCCAUGUAGAACGGGAAAACCCUUAAGCUAAGACACACAAUUCUAAGUUUCAGAAAAUCUGACUAAUCAUGACCCAGGCCUGAGCCUGAUCAACGAACCGAGUUACCCUAGGGAUAACAGCGCAAUCCCUUCCCAGAGUUCAUAUCGACGAGGGGGUUUACGACCUCGAUGUUGGAUCAGGACAUCCUAAUGGUGCAGCCGCUAUUAAGGGUUCGUUUGUUCAACGAUUAAUAGUCCUACGUGAUCUGAGUUCAGACCGGAGUAAUCCAGGUCGGUUUCUAUCUAUGACCAAGCCUAUCCCUAGUACGAAAGGACCGGGAUAGGGGGGCCUACAAAACACCAAGCCCCACUUCAACCUACUGAAACCAUAUAAAAUGGCUAAUGAAGAAGACAUAAUUGCCGAAGAUAAUGGCAU
rnacentral:rRNA from 1 species